rnacentral:lncRNA from 1 species
AGGUCAUUCCUGCACAGUAAAAAACUCAACCAUGAUGGGAGUAAUGCGCUAGAGUGUUACUGCAAUUUUUGGCAGAUUUUCAAAGAAUUUUUUGUAAAAACAUCAGAAGACAUCAAAAAUGAUUAAAAAAAAAUGAAAAGCUGCAGGAAAUUGACAAUAGAAGAAGGCUGCAGAGAUUAGGUAUACUAAUUGACAAUAUAAUUCUUAAAUCUAAAAAAUAUUGGGUUGUUACUUUUUAACUAACAACUUUGAAGGUUGGUGACUAUACAUGUAGAUAAAAUUUAUUUUAUAUUUAUGAAAAAAACUUUAAUUUAUAAUAUUUGUAAAUUAAUCCAAUACAAAAACAAGUUUUUCAUGUACAUCGUAUUUGACAAUUAAAAAAAAAUAACAGGUCAACGAAAUGAUUAUUUUUGUUGAUUUUAGUGCCAAAUCAUAAAGUAACAUCUAAUAGUGAAAUAGAUAAAUUUGUAAAGAAAAAAAUGUUGAAAUUUUUAUUGAAAUUUUUGUACCCUCAAGCCUAGAUUUUUUUGGUUCAAUAGAUCAAUUAAAACGUUUGUGAUGUCAUAAUAAAGUUGUAUACAGAAAUUGCAUCAACUGCAUACAAAGCAACGACUAAUACAUUUUAAAUUUACCAUAUAUAUUUUUAAAUAUCUUAACAUUUCUUUUUUUAGAUUUGAUCACGGUAUUAAAUUUUUAUUCUAUAUUUACAAGUGCAGAAAUAUAUCAUUAUCUAAUGUUGUUGUUUUUGUAUUCACUUGCAGGAACUGAGAAGUAAAGAAAAAAAGGAAGAAAGAAAGGAAGAAUUUAUUUUAAUU